ensembl:lncRNA
AUGUCCAUGAACGGAAAAAUAAAGAAAAUAUCGAGAAGAAAGUAUCAAGUACCUGUGGAAAGCACACCUGCUCUCAAAAAGGAUGGAGGACUAGGCCUCGCGCUUGCGCAUCAGGUGCCCCUGACCAGGAGCGAGAUCUCGCGGGAUCUCAGGCAAGUGUCGAGUUACCCACAAGGCUGUGCCUCGGGACCGGAAGCACCGCUGGGACCUGGAGUUUUGAGACCCGGCGCCAGGCCCUGCCCUGACCGCGUGAGGUGGGCGAGGUGUGAUGGCCGGGAUGGUGUGAAGAGACGGUCAGAAGUCCGAGGAAAAGAGGUCCGCUCUGUCAUGGAGUUCGUGGGGGCGCUGAGGGUGCAUUUUGCAAUUAGUUCUGCCCCAAAACUGCCUGCAGCCCGGCCCCUCCCUCGCCGUGCAGCGCGGCCCCCUGUCAUCUUAGGGUUUUGCCGCCGUCUCUCCUUCUGCUGGCCUCGCGUAUCUCCGCGCCGCCUGGCUCACUCGGGAUGUCUGCCGAAAAGCCGGCGCAGCAGGCUGGUCUCCAAGGAUGUGCAAGAGCAGCUGUGGACUAUAACUGAGAGGAGUUAUCUUUGCAUUUUUCAUUGUUGCUUGUCUCAAGGCAUUGAAUCCCAUGGACAGUGUCAUUAUGGUUCUUGACCAUGAAUUGCCCUUCGAAGAAAAAGAUAAAGCUCCAGAAGCAGAUGCUGAAGUUGAAAAGGAAGACUGUGAUUGAAAUGGCUUUUCCAGAGUUCGUCACUUUUAAUCCACAUAAGAGAUGUAUGAAUUAAUCUGUUCUUUCUUCUUUCACUCUCUCCUUUCUUUGUUCCUUUUAAACUCUUCUUCUGGUUUAUUCUUUAGUUUGGCUGCAAAUGUAAUUGAUGUGGGAUGUAGAGAACAAAAAAAGUCAAAGGCACCCUUUUAAGGAAUAGGAUGUAAUCAUGAUUUUUGAAACAUCACCCAAGAUUCCCUUCCUGAUACCAUCCCCUUUCUAGUCCCACAGUGAAAAAUAUUACUUAGAUUUUGUCUUUACACUCACAUGGCUGUUCUUUAUUUUUCCCCCAUAUAUGUUGGUUCCCAUGGUUAUAUACUGUUUGAUUUGUACAUUUUGAUUCUCUUUAGUAUAGGUAUUUUCCUGUGAUUCAUUUUGCACUCAAUGUUUUGUCCCAACUUAGCAUAGCUAAAGAGAACUAUCUACUCUUUUGUUUGUUUAACUUUCAUGUAAUAUUUAAUUUCACAUGAUGUCUUUUAUUUACCCAUUUACUUUUGAAUAACACUUGCAUUUUUUUUUCAAUUGAGGCCAUGAGAAACAGAACCACAAUAUUAUUUGAAGAUUUCUUUUUUCUUUAACACACUAGAAGUUUGGGGGGUUACAUAACAAGUAGUAUUUCUGGAUCAUAAAUAUUGAAACAGAAAAUCCAAGCAAAAGUGGUUAGCUUACCCCUUUAUUAAGCACACUGCAAGAUAAAAAACAGCUUCAGAAUACUGUUGUAUCAGAAUACUAGCAAGUGUCCUGAAGAAUUUAUGAGUUAGAUAAAGGAAGGUCAAAAUUAGUUUUGUUCCAUAGCUUGAUUCCUCUUCAAAAUAUUGGAAAAUAUGGGAACUUAGCUUGUAUUUAUCAUGGGAUAGGAUAAAGGGCCUUCUGAGUUGGAAUUAAGAU